rnacentral:rRNA from 1 species
UACGUAGGGGGCAAGCGUUGUCCGGAUUUAUUGGGCGUAAAGAGCGUGUAGGCGGCCAGAUAGGUCAGCUGUGAAAACUCGAGGCUCAACCUCGAGAUGUCGGCUGAAACCAUCUGGCUAGAGUCCGGAAGAGGAGAAUGGAAUUCCUGGUGUAGCGGUGAAAUGCGCAGAUAUCAGGAGGAACACCAAUGGCGAAGGCAGCUCGCUGGGACGGUACUGACGCUGAGACGCGAAAGCGUGGGGAGCAAACAGG